GUCCUCGCGGACCAGCCUGGAGUGGUCGCCACCCUGUCAAGGUGGAGAUCGGGGGUUCGAAUCCCCUCGGGGACG
rnacentral:tRNA from 1 species